AGCAAAUAAGUCCUGUAAGUCAAACUCUAUAUCCAGGGGGAGUACACCUUUGUUCAGUAUGUAUCUCUGGAAAUGUAUUAGGAACCGAUCAAGUUUUCGCUUUGAUGAACCUCGAUCAAAGUAGUGCCCACAGGUUUCAAGUAGCGUAAUAACCAUCCUGAUGCGGAAACAAUCUUCAGGAGGAUCCAAUACAUCUUGCUCUGACGUUCCAUGGCCAAAAACGAGAAUCAAAUAGAGUGUAUCAAAUAUCACAGAGGAAUCAACAAGUUCAUAGUUAUACAACUCCCCUAGGAAACGCAUGUGAGCAAUACGUCUUUGCUGCAUCCCAUAGUCAUUCAACUCUAAUCCCACCCUGAUCUCCUCCAGAACCUCAUCAACAACCGCAACAGAAAAAUCAUCAUGAUAGCGGCUUAAACAAGCAGUAAGUGACGCAAUCAAAUGAAUCUGACCAUACUUGCCCCUGUGAACCUUCAUGAAACACUUCAAAAGGUAUGCCUCACAUUCACUCCAAGGAAGCUUACGAAGCUGUCUGAGCACAUGCUCUAAUGAAGACUUGUCAAGAUCCGAAAACAGCAAUUUUCUAAUGUACUGAUGCAGAGGAGGCCGAACUUUAGACACUCGUG
rnacentral:misc_RNA from 1 species